AUUUUUUCCAUUUUACAGAGAAGGAAACUGACUUGCCCAAGUUCUCCACAGAAGCUUAUUUCAUCCAUCUCUGAGCUGAAUAUGGACACACCCUGUGGAGGCAUGGCUCAGGACUCCCCGCCCCAGAUCCUAGUCCACCCCCAGGACCAGCUGUUCCAGGGCCCUGGCCCUGCCAGGAUGAGCUGCCGAGCCUCGGGCCAGCCACCUCCCACCAUCCGCUGGCUGCUGAAUGGGCAUCCCCUGAGCAUGGUGCCCCCAGACCCACACCACCUCCUGCCUGAUGGGACCCUUCUGCUGCUACAGCCCCCUGCCCGGGGACAUGCCCACAAUGGCCAGGCCCUGUCCACAGACCUGGGUGUCUACACAUGUGAGGCCAGCAACCGGCUUGGCACGGCAGUCAGCAGAGGCGCUCGGCUGUCUGUGGCUGUCCUCCGGGAGGAUUUCCAGAUCCAGCCUCGGGACAUGGUGGCUGUGGUGGGUGAGCAGGUAACUCUGGAAUGUGGGCCACCCUGGGGCCACCCAGAGCCCACAGUCUCGUGGUGGAAAGAUGGGAAACCCCUGGCCUUCCAGCCUGGAAGGCACACAGUGUCCGGGGGGUCCCUGCUGAUGGCAAGAGCAGAGAAGAGUGACGCAGGGACCUACAUGUGUGUGGCCACCAACAGCGCAGGACACAGGGAGAGCCGCGCAGCCCGGGUUUCCAUCCAGGAGCCCCAGGACUACACGGAGCCUGUGGAGCUUCUGGCUGUGCGAAUUCAGCUGGAAAAUGUGACACUGCUGAACCCGGAUCCCGCAAAGGGCCCCAAGCCUGGACCGGCGGUG
rnacentral:sRNA from 1 species